UACGGAGGGUGCGAGCGUUGUCCGGAAUCACUGGGCGUAAAGGGCGCGUAGGCGGCCGAGCAAGGUCGCGGUGAAAGCCCGGGGCUCAACCCCGGGUCGGCCGUGGCAACUACUCGGCUCGAGCACUGUAGGGGCGGGUGGAAUUCCGGGUGUAGCGGUGGAAUGCGUAGAGAUCCCCAAGAACACCCGUUGCGAAGGCGGCCGACUGGACACAUAUUGACGCUGAGGCUCGAAAGCAUGGGGAGCAAACAGG
rnacentral:rRNA from 1 species